UCAGAGCACGACGUAAAGGGGGCGGGCGUCUCUGUGACGUCACGAGGCUCCACCUCCCGCGAAGCUUUGUGUCGGCUGGGCCUGGCGGGAGGGUGGAGGUUGGCGGGUGGCCUGCGCUGUCAGCCUGGGCGCCUUGGAAUCGCGGUCCCGUGCUGUCCUCCAAACUUCAGACUCACCUCGGAAGCGUCAACCUCUUUGAAGACUUCUCAGUCACCAGAUGAGCCUUAUAUGACCUUAGCCCCUUUAAAUAUUGUCCAAGUGGAUUCUGAUAGAUGGGGUUUUGCCAUGCUGCCCAGGCUGGUCUUGAAUUCGUGGACUCAAGCGAUCUGCUCGCCUCAGCCUCCCAAAGUGCUGAGAUUACAGGCCUGAGCCACCACGCCCGGCUGGAAUCGUGCAUAUAUAACAGGCUUUUGGGGGGGACGUUGUCAGCUGACUGUAUUACUUUUCUUCCAUAUUUGCUCUGUGUAAUGUCGACGUAAUACAUGCACAGAUGAGGUUAUGAUGCAAA